rnacentral:rRNA from 1 species
AUACGUGGGUGGCAAGCGUUGUCCGGAUUUACUGGGCGUAAAGGAUGCGUAGGCGGAUAUGUAAGUCAGAUGUGAAAUUCCCGGGCUUAACUUGGGAACUGCAUUUGAAACUGCAUGUCUAGAGUGCAGGAGAGGAAAGUGGAAUUCCUAGUGUAGCGGUGAAAUGCGUAGAGAUUAGGAAGAACACCAGUGGCGAAGGCGACUUUCUGGACUGUAACUGACGCUGAGGCAUGAAAGCGUGGGGAGCAAACAGGAUUAGAUACCCUGGUAGUCCACGCUGUAAACGAUGGGUACUAGGUGUGGGAGGUAUCGACUCCUUCCGUGCCGCAGUUAACACAAUAAGUACCCCGCCUGGGGAGUACGGUCGCAAGAUUAA